rnacentral:rRNA from 1 species
GACGAACGCUGGCGGCGUGCUUAACACGUGCAAGUCGAACGGAAAGGCCCUGCUUUUGUGGGGUGCUCGAGUGGCGAACGGGUGGGUAACACGUGAGUAACCUGCCCUUGACUUUGGGAUAACUUCAGGAAACUGGGGCUAAUACCGGAUAGGAGCUCCUGCUGCAUGGUGGGGGUUGGAAAGUUUCGGCGGUUGGGGAUGGACUCGCGGCUUAUCAGCUUGUUGGUGGGGUAGUGGCUUACCAAGGCUUUGACGGGUAGCCGGCCUGAGAGGGUGACCGGCCACAUUGGGACUGAGAUACGGCCCAGACGCCUACGGGAGGCAGCAGUGGGGAAUAUUGCACAAUGGGCGGAAGCCUGAUGCAGCAACGCCGCGUGCGGGAUGACGGCCUGCGGGUUGUAAACCGCUUUCGCCUGUGACGAAGCGUGAGUGACGGUAAUGGGUAAAGAAGCACCGGCUAACUACGUG